AUUUAGCUGAAGAGUCCCAAAUGGGACGAAAUGCUUGUCGUUGAU
rnacentral:hammerhead_ribozyme from 1 species